UACGUAGGGUGCGAGCGUUAAUCGGAAUUACUGGGCGUAAAGCGUGCGCAGGCGGAUUAUUAAGCAAGACGUGAAAGCCCCGGGCUUAACCUGGGAAUGGCGUUUUGAACUGGUAGUCUAGAGUGCGUCAGAGGGGGGUGGAAUUCCGCGUGUAGCAGUGAAAUGCGUAGAUAUGCGGAGGAACACCGAUGGCGAAGGCAAUCCCCUGGGCCUGCACUGACGCUCAUGUACGAAAGCGUGGGUAGCAAACAGGAUUAGAUACCCUGGUAGUCCACGCCCUAAACGAUGUCAACUGGUUGUUGGGGGAGUGAAAUCCCUUAGUAACGAAGCUAACGCGUGAAGUUGACCGCCUGGGGAGUACGGUCGCAAGAUUA
rnacentral:rRNA from 1 species